rnacentral:lncRNA from 1 species
GUUGCUCAGUACAGUACUCCAGCAGGGCUUAUAUAGACAACCCAAACCCAGCCAAAGCAAACCUCCCCAAAUCCAACAUUUCCUGCAUGUCCAAAAUGGGAGACAGGCGCCUGAGUAACCCGGGGCAAGACGCCGAAAGGAGCCUGUUUGUGUGCUGCGGCCGUGCUGUGACUCUGGAUCUUGUCUUUCAGCCGGCGCCUCUGUUCCUGCCCAGCUGGAUUUGGGGGGCAGCAUUGCCUGGCGCAGGGAGAUCAAAUGAGACUGCAAAGAAGCAUAAAAUGAAUAGACAAUCCAACCAACCAAAGACCGGGGGCAGCAGCAGGCCAGCAAGACGGCAUCUUCUCCUUCCCAGCCUAGAAGCCCUGUGAAAUCGAGGAUCUUCCCCCUAAAACACAUACACACAAGAAAUGUGCAAUCAAGCUGCCACCGCUUGGUAAAAAGCUCAUGGUGCCUAACCAAAAAGGAUCAGGAACAGAUCCUUGAAUCAGCUGUCACUUCUAUAGAAUGGGAUGUUUUUUUUUUCCUUCCUCCUUAACCUGCGCUGGAAAUUGCCGUUGGC